ensembl:lncRNA
AUUUUCUACACGCAAGGUGGAGCCUUCUCUUUCUUAUCGUUCUCCUGAAGCAAAUCUAACCUAGCCUGCCUCACUUAUGAAUCCUUUGUGAGCGAGCGAGCGAGCAAGCAAGCAAAGAGAAACCUUCAUCUAAGCAGUUGAACAGGUGGCUAGUAGAGUCUUUGUACACGGAUACGCACGAGAAAGGGAAAUCCAUCCAAGGGCACUUGCGGCCUUGAUGAACCAUGUUGCUAGGGGAACCCACAGAGCCACGAAACGCAGAAAGGUAACUGUAGCAACCUAUUAAAAGUCCACCCCCCACGCAGAACCCGGUGCUGUUCCAGCGUUUACUUAUGCAUGGGUGCAGCAGUAGAAGCAAGAGCUGCGUACGUUUGUUUAGCUGUGCUGGAGAGUUUUAAAAGCAAACAUACUGGACUCUGUUUUUCUCCGUCUACUAAAACAAGACUGCAGUGCAAAACAUAGUACAUAGGAUUCUAGCAGGCGGGGAGUGGGGGAGUCUUUUCUGCCUUUGUUUUCUUCUUAAAGAAUUAUGGCUACCCUAGCAGUCAUAAGGGAUAGUGGUCCCAAAUAUUUUCUUCAGGUGGAAAACAGAAGGAGAAAUGUUUUUGUGACCCAACUAGGAGAACACAGGGAAGAAGAGGAUGAAAAUGUGUCUUACGUGCCAAUUGUUCCUGAGGGCUGAAGCUCUUGAUUUUGAUAUAUAUAUAAAAGCAUGUGAACGUAAGAAGAAGCGUGCAUGUCAGAAAUACCAGCGUGAACGAAAACACAAUGCCACAAAGGGGCAACAGUUGUUGGAGCUGAAAACAGAACUUAAAAAGCUGAAAGUUAGGUCCUGCUUAGCAAAAUUUCUAGCCUUCAGUCAAAGUAUGAUGAAUUACGAGAGAGAAACAUACACUUGUAUCACCUUGUUAAUGAUAAAGAAGGCCUUUUCAGUCAAGAGAGGCAAGAUCUAA